AAAAGUAGUAAUAGUUAAGAUCUUGAAACUUAAAAAAUUUGGCGGUAUUUUAGUCUAUUCAGAGGAACUUGUUUUAUAAUCGAUAAUCCACGAUGGACCUUACUUAAUUUUGUUAUCAGUUUAUAUACCGUCGUUAUUAGAAUAUUUUAUAAGAAUUUUUAAUUUUCUUAAUUUUAAAAAAUUAAAAUUAUAUCAGAUCAAGGUGUAGCUUAUAUUUAAGUAAAAAUGGGUUACAAUAAAAUUAUUUAAAUGAAUAUAAAUUUGAAAUAUUUAUUGAAGGUGGAUUUGAUAGUAAAUUUAUAUAGAUUAAUAAU
rnacentral:rRNA from 1 species